rnacentral:rRNA from 1 species
AUUGAACGCUGGCGGCAGGCCUAACACAUGCAAGUCGAGCGGAUGAAGGUAGCUUGCUACCUGAUUCAGCGGCGGACGGGUGAGUAAUGCCUAGGAAUCUGCCUGGUAGUGGGGGACAACGUUUCGAAAGGAACGCUAAUACCGCAUACGUCCUACGGGAGAAAGUGGGGGAUCUUCGGACCUCACGCUAUCAGAUGAGCCUAGGUACGAUUAGCUAGUUGGUGAGGUAAAGGCUCACCAAGGCGACGAUCGUUAACUGGUCUGAGAGGAUGACCAGUCACACUGGAACUGAGACACGGUCCAGACUCCUACGGGAGGCAGCAGUGGGGAAUAUUGGACAAUGGGCGAAAGCCUGACCCAGCCAUGCCGCGUGUGUGAAGAAGGUCUUCGGAUUGUAAAGCACUUUAAGUUGGGAGGAAGGGCAGUAAGUUAAUACCUUGCUGUUUUGACGUUACCGACAGAAUAAGCACCGGCUAACUUCGUGCCAGCCGCCGCCGCAACAC